rnacentral:rRNA from 1 species
UAUUACGUUCAUGCUAUCCUUAUGUGCCCGAUCUCAUCUGAUUUAGGAAGCUAACGGCAGGGUUGGGCCUGGUUAGUACUUGGAUGGGAGACCACCUAGGAAUACCAGGUGCUGUAGGCA